UUUGCUCCAAUAGCAGAAAAA
rnacentral:piRNA from 1 species